rnacentral:rRNA from 1 species
UACGUAGGGAGCAAGCGUUGUCCGGAAUCAUUGGGCGUAAAGCGCGCGUAGGUGGCCACAUAAGUCCGUUGUGAAAGUCAAAGGCUCAACCUUUGAAAGCCGAUGGAUACUGUGUGGCUAGAGUACGGAAGAGGCGAGUGGAAUUCCUGGUGUAGCGGUGGAAUGCGCAGAUAUCAGGAGGAACACCAAUAGCGAAGGCAGCUCGCUGGGACGUUACUGAGACUGAGGCGCGAAAGCGUGGGGAGCGAACAGG